UACGAAGGGGGCGAGCGUUGUUCGGAUUUACUGGGCGUAAAGGGCGCGCAGGCGGCUCAUUUUGUCAGGCGUGAAAGCCCCGGGCUUAACCUGGGAACUGCGUUUGAUACGGGUGGGCUAGAGUUCGGGAGAGGAGCGUGGAAUUCCCAGUGUAGAGGUGAAAUUCGUAGAUAUUGGGAAGAACACCGGUGGCGAAGGCGGCGCUCUGGACCGAGACUGACGCUGAGGCGCGAAAGCGUGGGGAGCAAACCGG
rnacentral:rRNA from 1 species